CCAGUAGAAUCAACCGUAUCUGAAGAGAGAGCUGAGGAAAUUAAACAAUGACUGAGAAACAACACACAGCCCAUCAGCCAGGUGGAACAGUACAUGCGAAAAAUAUGUUUGAGGUCCUCCAUGAGUUUCCUCGGCUAACUACCCCAGGCAUGAUUGCACAGGACUUUCACAUUUUACUUCAAGAUGCAGCCCCAAAACUGUUUGAAAAAUGGCUGGUAUACUGACAGGAUCUUGCUUUUUGCGAAGCGAGAAGCAAAGCUUCCAUGUACAUCUGAAGAAAUGACAGAAGUGGAUCAACAGCAGAACUUUACACUUCAGUCUACACUUUUAUGGGAUUUUGGACUCAUGCUAAUUUGACCUCUUUAGUAAAUCUGGCCCUAUAUUUUCAAUGACAACUCGCUACUGUUUUUAGUAGUGUUGAUGAAUGUAAUAUUAUUUUCCUACAGAUGCAAAGGGAAAUCUUGCACUAAAGCUGUUACCUGUUUUGCUUCCACCUCCACCCUACAAAAUUGGCAGAAAAACACUCCGGGCCCAGCAUUGAUGAAAUCAAAAAAGCUUUCAUUGACAUUUAGCCUGUUGGAACAAAUAUGGUGGAGGACCUCCAGCAGGCUGAAGCAUCAAGACCUUACCCUCAUGUCCUGUCACUUGAAAAUGGACACAUUGAUUCGCAGGCAUUUGUCAUCCUCGCAGGAAAAGCUUUGG